rnacentral:rRNA from 1 species
CCUACGGGGAGCAGCAGUGAGGAAUAUUGGUCAAUGGACGCAAGUCUGAACCAGCCAUGCCGCGUGCAGGAAGACGGCUCUAUGAGUUGUAAACUGCUUUUGUACGAGGGUAAACGCAGAUACGCGUAUCUGUCUGAAAGUAUCGUACGAAUAAGGAUCGGCUAACUCCGUGCCAGCAGCCGCGGUAAUACGGAGGAUUCAAGCGUUAUCCGGAUUUAUUGGGUUUAAAGGGUGCGUAGGUGGUCGGAUAAGUUAGAGGUGAAAUCCCGAGGCUCAACUUCGGAAUUGCCUCUGAUACUGUUUGGCUAGAGAGUAGUUGCGGUAGGCGGAAUGUAUGGUGUAGCGGUGAAAUGCUUAGAGAUCAUACAGAACACCGAUUGCGAAGGCAGCUUACCAAGCUACUUCUGACGUUGAGGCACGAAAGCGUGGGGAGCAAACAGGAUUAGAUACCCUAGUAGUC